rnacentral:rRNA from 1 species
AGUGAACGCUGGCGGUAGGCCUAACACAUGCAAGUCGAACGGCAGCACAGUAAGAGCUUGCUCUUACGGGUGGCGAGUGGCGGACGGGUGAGGAAUACAUCGGAAUCUACUUUUUCGUGGGUGAUAACGUAGGGAAACUUACGCUAAUAGCGCAUACGAUCUACGGGUUAAAGCAGUGGUUAUUCGCACCUUUGCCGAUUGAAUGAGCCGAUGUCGGAUUAGCUAGUUGGCGGGGUAAAGGCCCACCAAGGCGACGAUGCGUAGCUGGUCUGAGAGGAUGAUCAGCCACACUGGAACUGAGACACGGUCCAGACUCCUACGGGAGGCAGCAGUAGGGAAUAUUGGACAAUGGGCGCAAGCCUGAUCCAGCCAUACCGCGUGAGUGAAGAAGGCCUUCGGGUUGUAAAGCCCUUUUGUUGGGAAAGAAAAGCAGCAGGUGAAUACCCCGCUGUUCUGACGGUACCCAAAGAAUAAGCACCGGCUAACUUCGUG